CAAUAGCGUAUAUUAAAGUUGUUGCAGUUAAAAAGCUCGUAGUUGGAUUUGUGGCGUACGGUGUGUUCCGGGCACUUGUUGUCUGAGUAACCUGCUGUUGCCAUCCUUGGGUGGAACCUGUGUGGCAUUAGGUUGUCGUGCAGGGGAUGCCCAUCAUUUACUGUGAAAAAAUUAGAGUGUUCAAAGCAGGCUUAUGCCGUUGAAUAUAUUAGCAUGGAAUAAUGAGAUAGGACUUUCUUGCUAUUUUGUUGGUUUGCGCAAAGAGGUAAUGAUUAAUAGGGACAGUUGGGGGUAUUCGUACUCCAUUGUCAGAGGUGAAAUUCUUGGAUUUUUGGAAGACGAACUACUGCGAAAGCAUUUACCAAGGAUGUUUUCAUUAA
rnacentral:rRNA from 1 species